rnacentral:rRNA from 1 species
CCUACGGGAGGCAGCAGUGAGGAAUAUUGGUCAAUGGGCUUACGCCUGAACCAGCCAAGUCGCGUGAGGGAAGACUGCCCUAUGGGUUGUAAACCUCUUUUGUCAGGGAGCAAUUGGCGCUACGUGUAGCGUUAUCGAGAGUACCUGAAGAAAAAGCACCGGCUAAUUCCGUGCCAGCAGCCGCGGUAAUACGGAGGAUGCGAGCGUUACCCGGUUUAAUUGGGUUUAAAGGGUGCGUAGGCGGAAGGUAAAGACAGCGGGAAAAUCGCGGGGCCCAACCUCGCCCCGCCGUUGAAACUGGCGUUGUUGAGUGGGCGAGAGGUAUGCGGAAUGCGUGGUGUAGCGGUGAAAUGCAUAGAUAUCACGCAGAACUCCGAUUGCGAAGGCAGCAUACCGGCGCCCAACUGACGCUGAAGCACGAAAGCGUGGGUAUCGAACAGGAUUAGAUACCCUAGUAGUC